rnacentral:sRNA from 1 species
CUCCCCCUUUGACAAGACAUGCUAUUCCGUAUUUAUAGCCUUCUGCGCGUGUAGGGCAUUCAUCGAGGGAUUUGACGAAACUACCCUUCGCCUUAAUACUCCUUGGUUUGGAACUUAUUUUGGGCUUUUGACUUGGGUUUGGGCAUUGGGCCAAGUAGGCCCAAUCCGACCCCUAACA